rnacentral:antisense_RNA from 1 species
UAGUCCUCAGCUGGUCCUAGACAUGCGUGGCGUCGGGGAUGUGGCACGGUCGGGUCCGGGGACACUUGUUUAACAAGACAUCUGCCCACGUCCCUGGCCCAUCUCAUUGGCUGCAGCACAUCACAGUGGACCUUCUGCCUCCUCCCAGAUGCCCAGGGACAGUGAUCUGGAAGGAAGGGGCUUGAGGCUGUUUUCCUAGAACUCGACUUGAAUGCACCAAGGAAAGGCCAUUUGUGGGGACAUAGCGAGAAGGCAGCUGUCUGCAAGCCAGGAGGAGAACCCUCACCAGAAACCUCACAGAAAUCGGCCAGCACCCUCAUCUCGGGCUUCCAGCUUCAGAACAACGAGAAAACAAAUUUCUGUGGUGUCCUGGUUCCCAUUUGUAAUUGGCACCCUAAUGAAACCGUUUUCUGUAGCCCUGGAAAUGGCUGAAAAUGAGGGGAGGGAAAUAAAGUGCUAUAAUUCAGAGCAUGGAGCACACCUUCCUGGUUCACCUGAGUUGGAUUCGGAGAGGUAAAAUGGCCAUUACCUCGUCUAAGCUGCCACUUACAGACACAGUACAGGAUGAGGCCCAGGCCCACAGAGACAACGAUGAUGGCCACAGCUAAGAUGAUCCAGAAAUUAUUCCUCCACCAGCUCAUUGCAGUGGAAUCCUGAGAAGAAUGGAGAGAGAAGAAUGAGAGGGCAAAAGCAGAUGGCUCCACCGAGAACUCACGCCAGCCCAACACACUUUGAUCUCGAGGCCUCUGGAAGGGAAGGUGCCUAAUGAACUGCUGAAAGCCAGAGAUGCAAUGACAAAGCAGUCGUACCAGGGCCCCAGGCUGCAAUCCCCUGGCCCAGUGCUGAUCGGUGGCUCCCAGGGACACGCCCUGAUGCCAGCGCUGGCAGAUGUCUGCUGUGAAGACAGCAGGAAACUGUCCCUUGGAAAGCUGAGAUGCUUACCUGAACUGUGAAAGUAUCCAUAUGUGAGCAGCUAAGGAGACAGCAGUGGCUGGAGUGCUGUAGCUCAGGCACAGCUGGGAAGCUCAUGACCCACGGCUGUCCAGAAGCCAGAAUCUUCUCACUGCCCCGUGUCGCUCCCGCAAGGCCUACCAGAGGACCCUCAUGGUGUGGUAGGGGGUCCUGGCAGGGGCCAGGGGCCAGGGUGGAGACUUGGCAGUGGGGGUGGGUUUGGUGUCCCCACAGACGAGUUUGCCCUGAGCAUUCCUGGAUGUGGCAACCUGAGUCUCAAGAAGAGCGACAGGACGCCAGCUCCCAUGCAGAGACAGAUCCGGUAAGAAACCAGCUCAUGUGUGACAAACUCACCAUCUCACCAUGAAGGUGACUCUUGAAAGCUCCUGAGCACCUUGGAACUGCUGAGACAUCUUCUGCUUGGAGGAGGCAAGGGACAGGCUUCCUGUUUCUAAAGGCGUGUGAGUGGCGACCUUGAGAAAUGUGGCCAGUGGAGCAUUUUGACUGAGUUGGGUCCCCUCGUGCAAUACUGUGAGACAGAACUCCCAGCGAGGCCCAUGGCCUCUGACCAUGGGGGUUGGGGUGGGGAAACCAAUUAACCAUUUUGUUGAAUUGGCUGGUUCUGACUCAAAUGAGCAGUCACAUUAGUAAAAAUAGGCAAACGGAUGUGCAUUGUAUCUGCCCAGAGCGAAUGAGUUGUUAUCCAUUUCAGUAAUAAUGAUAACCAGAUAUGUCCGAUAAAUAUCUGAUAAUGUCUGAUAUA